rnacentral:rRNA from 1 species
CGUUGUUGGGUAGGGGAGCGUUCUGUAAGCCUGUGAAGGUGGCCUGUGAGGGUUGCUGGAGGUAUCAGAAGUGCGAAUGCUGACAUAAGUAACGAUAAAGCGGGUGAAAAGCCCGCUCGCCGGAAGACCAAGGGUUCCUGUCCAACGUUAAUCGGGGCAGGGUGAGUCGACCCCUAAGGCGAGGCCGAAAGGCGUAGUCGAUGGGAAACGGGUUAAUAUUCCCGUACUUGGUGUUACUGCGAAGGGGGGACGGAGAAGGCUAUGUUGGCCGGGCGACGGUUGUCCCGGUUUAAGCGUGUAGGUGUGUGUUCCAGGUAAAUCCGGUUCACUUUAACA